AAUGAACGCUGGCGGCGUGCCUAACACAUGCAAGUCGAGCGGCAGCACAGGAAGAUCGUUCCCCUACGGUUGGCGGCUGACGGACGGGUAAGGCAUACAUCACAAACUACUUUUUCUGGGGUGACAACGGAGAGAAAGUGAUGCUAAUACAGCAUAUUAUCUACGGGUGAAAUCAGGGGUGAUUCAGACCUUUGGUGUUACAAUUAGCCGAUGCCGGAUUAGCUAGUCGGCGGGGUAAAGUCCCACCAAGGCAACGAUACGUAGCUGGCCUGAGAGGAUGAUCAGCCACACUGGAACUGAGACACGGUCCAGACUCCUACGGGAGGCAGCAGUGGGGAAUAUUGGGCAAUGGGCGAAAGCCUGACCCAGCAAUGCCGCGUGAGUGAAGAAGGCCUUCGGGUUGUAAAGCCCUUUUGUUAGGAAAGAAAAGAAGCAGGAUAAUACCCGGCUGUUCUGACGGUACCCAAAGAAUAAGCACCGGCUAACUUCGUG
rnacentral:rRNA from 1 species